GACGAACGCUGGCGGCGUGCUUAACACAUGCAAGUCGAACGGAAAGGCCCUGCGUUUGUGGGGUGCUCGAGUGGCGAACGGGUGAGUAACACGUGAGUAACCUGCCCUUGACUUUGGGAUAACUUCAGGAAACUGGGGCUAAUACCGGAUAGGAUCUCCUGCUGCAUGGUGUGGGUUGGAAAGUUUCGGCGGUUGGGGAUGGACUCGCGGCUUAUCAGCUUGUUGGUGGGGUAGUGGCUUACCAAGGCUUUGACGGGUAGCCGGCCUGAGAGGGUGACCGGCGACAUGGGGACUAAGAUACGGCCCAGACUCGAACGGGAGGCAGCAGUGGGGAAUAUUGCGGAGUGAGCGGAAGCCUGAGGCAGCAACGCCGCGUGCGGGAUGACGGCCUUCGGGUUGUGAACCGCUUUCGCCUGUGACGAAGCGUGAGUGACGGUAAUGGGUCAAGAAGCACCGGCUAACUACGUG
rnacentral:rRNA from 1 species